AUACGUCACUCCGUGGCUAAAACUCUUGGCAUCCUUAUAGGCUGAGAGCUGACCGGGCUUCAGCACGCAGUACAAGCUGUUCCACGACCUGAGAGGACGAGGAGAGGAAGGAAAUGGAGGGACUCGAUCACUUCAGCGCUCCAGGGCAGAGAAGCGCUCUUCCCAGGUGGCGGUGGAUUUCUCAAAGGCCUCGUGUCUCUUGAGGAGUUUCUCCACCUCGUCCACGGUGUAGCCCAGGUCCUGACUGGUCACGUAGGGCUCCUGAGCGACCAGCCAGGCCUCCGCCACUGAGGCGUCCCGCGCAAACUGACACACCUCCAACACUGCGGGCAGUCAAGACGGCAUUGGCGUGCUCACCUGGGUUUCUCCUGAGUCUCUAUCUGCUGGAUGAUGCUGUCCAUCCAGGCCAUCAGGUCUCGCACCAUGGUGAAAAAGCGGAACUUCUCUGCAGUGUCCACCAGUUGUGCCCUGCGGCCGUCGCAAGCGUCCAGCAGGCCCUUCCAGGCCUCCACCACCUCUCGCUCUGUGGCCUUGAUGCUGUCCGCUCUGGGCCCUGCAUACUGGGCAUGGAGACGUGAAGCCGUCUCCUGGAACUGUCGGACCUGGAGGGAGGAGAAUCGAGAGUCAAAUUGUUGACGUGAAUUAAACAUUUUAAUCUCCGAGGAUCGUUUGUCUGGGCUCAUCUUAAAUCAGAAUGAGCGUGAUUUUGUUUAAAAAGUCAAUCAUGGUCCAAUGUGCAUCUUACGUGAUGAGUGAUACACAUGGAAAUUUCUGAAGUGCACAUACAAUUGAGAACAGACUUUACACUAAAGUGAUCUAGAUGUCUGGUAUUUUAACUUUGAAAUAAAUAAUGCAUUCAUAUAUUCUGGUUUUACCACUGAAGGAGAAGGUGAAUCUUUAACUAGGUAAUUUUUAAAUUCUUAAAACAUGCCUUUAGGACUUACAUCAUGAGAUCAUAAGAUGAACUCUCUGAUUAACAAGUAUUUUAACGGCAAGGGAAUAUUUUGUACAUCAUCUGGGCACUGAGGUUAUGACAGUUUGACAGUCCGCAUAAAAAAUUGAUGUGGUUACUAUUCCAAAUGCUUAGCUAACUAUGCUCAUGUUUAAAUUUAACAAACGCAGUAUUUAUUGAUUUUUUUUUAAUUACUUUGGGACAUAUUGGACCCGUGUUGAAUGUCAAUGUCAAUGAAAGUAGAAGAAAAAAUAACUCUAGCUCUCCUUUCGGCUGUUUUUUCUCCAACUCUGAGGAAAAUAUCUGACUCUUUAGCUGCUAAAGCCACUUGGUGUUGGGCAGGUAGUUUUAUUAGAGCUUUUAUACUGAACUACACAAUAAGGUUGUAUUCAAUUCUACAAGAUUGAUUAGAGCAGUAAGAGUGAACCGGAACUUUAAAGCUGUCAAUGGAUGUAUGAGUGUUACACACUAUGCUAUUUAUGUUACUAUGUUAUACUCCUUGUACUUCUUCCUUUAUUUUCUUGUUCUUUCACAAAUUUGUUGCUUUGUUAAUGAUUCUAUAAUUGAGGGCCAUAAAACCAAAACAAUUAGCUGUAAGAUGCUAAAAUGCUCCAUGUAGCUGAGGGGAAAAAGCAAAGUGGGGUGACAGUUCUCUGUGGGUUCAGGAUUGAUUCACAUUCACAUUACAUAUAUCAAUCAGACCUAUUAUUAGUAUUAAAAUAUUGACUGAUGCAGAUUUUUUUUAAAAAAUCUUAUCAUCCCAGAACAAGGGGAUUAAGAGGCUGAUAGUAAGUUUUUACUGGGUUUUCACCCUUUGAGAAAACUUUUCACUGUUCCAUACAUAUGGCAGCACUUUCUGCCUCUAGAUAUGAAUCAUCAAAGUUUGCCUCUUGGCCGCUGCCUGCUGUGUUUACCUCGGAGCAUGCGGGCUGAUCCCGCGUCUUGUACCUGUUUGCCUAGAGUGGUGAUGUCUCUCUCAAAGGCAGCGUGCAUUCUGUGGAAGGAUUCGGCUUUGCUGAAGUCCUCUCCCACAUCUUCAGGCAGCUCUUUUAGCUUCUCGUGGAUCUGAGCCACAAGCUCUUUCCCAUCAUCAAAGUACCUUAAAAAAGGGGGUCAAACUAUCAGUCUCUUUGGCUGUGUGUGUUUUAUCAUCAUAUUUAUCAUUCAGCCGACAGCAAUCAAUGUAAAGGUGUCAUGUUUAGGUUGAAUUCUUUGUGACACUGUUAUUGCACUCAGAUGUGUUCUGAUUUGAUGUCAUUAGUCGCCCCAGACGUCAAUAUCAUUCUAACUUGUCUGGACACGUUAUGCUGCCUUACAGGAUUAGACAUGAAAUCUUAAUGGCAUCAAUCCAGAUAACUGUCCAUUGUUCUGCUCCUGGUCUGGUACAUCAAUACUGUUUUCCUUACUUGAGCAGUUCGUAAGAUGUUGUGAGCAGCUGAGUGCGAGUGUCGAUGAGCUCCAGCAGAUCAGCCCAGCUCUCAUUGAUGCCGUCCUUCCACUCUGCCAUGGUGGCUGCCUCAGUGUGUCCAGAUUCGAUUAGCUCGUCUAUCGUCUGGUUGACCAUGUCCACUCGCUCCUGACCCGCCAUCUCCGUCUCCCGUGCAAACUCUCUAAACUUAUCCCUCAGAAGCUGAAGGGAAAAGAAAGAAAUGUUUUUCAGAUUUUUUUGUAUGGCAUUGUAUUGGAGUAAAUUAAAUUGGUUAUGUAACUAUGAGUCUAUACUAAAUAAAAGUGAGGCAAUGAAACCAAUAAAAUGGAUAAGAAAUACA